rnacentral:tRNA from 1 species
GACUCUGUAGGUUAUAAAAACUGCGUAAAUUGCUUUUACGAGAAGGGGAGUUG